rnacentral:rRNA from 1 species
GACGAACGCUGGCGGCGGGCUUAACACAUGCAAGUCGAGCGGAAGGGCCCUGCUUGUGUGGGGUUCUCGAGUGGCGAACGGGUGAGUAGCACGGGAGUAACCUUCCCUGUACGGGGGGAUAACUGCAGGAGACUGGGGCUAAUACCGGAUAGGAGCGCCUGCUGCAUGGGGGGGGUUGGAAAGUUUCGGCGGUUGGGGAUGGACUCGCGGCUUAUCAGCUUGUGGGUGGGGUAGUGGCUUACCAAGGCUUUGACGGGUAGCCGGCCUGAGAGGGUGACCGGCCACAUUGGGACUGAGAUACGGCCCAGACUCCUACGGGAGGCAGCAGUGGGGAAUAUUGCACAAUGGGCGGAAGCCUGAUGCAGCAACGCCGCGUGCGGGAUGACGGCCUUCGGGUUGUAAACCGCUUUCGCCUGUGACGAAGCGUGAGUGACGGUAAUGGGUAAAGAAGCACCGGCUAACUACGUG